rnacentral:rRNA from 1 species
UACGUAGGGGGCAAGCGUUGUCCGGAUUCAUUGGGCGUAAAGGGUGCGUAGGCGGCGCGGUAAGUCGGGUGUGAAAUCUCGGAGCUUAACUCCGAAACUGCAUUCGAUACUGCCGUGCUUGAGGACUGGAGAGGAGACUGGAAUUUACGGUGUAGCGGUGAAAUGCGCAGAUAUUGGGAGGAACACCAGUGGCGAAGGCGGCGAUCUGGGAAGAUACUGACGCUGAGGUGCGAAAGCGUGGGGAGCAAACAGG